GAUGUAUAGCACUCGCUCCGCUGUCGCUCUUGCUCUAAACAUCGCGUGCGUUCGCAAAAAGCAUAGGUACUUCACGAACUGUUUCAUAAAUAACUAUUUCCUCCGUCAUACUUUCUGCAGCAGAUUAUUUGAUCGGAAAAAAGAAAAUAGUAAGAAAUCUUAUAGGGGUAAACAAUCACUGUCAAGAUGCUAUUAGAAAAAAAUACUCACAUAGCUUUCAAUAUAUAAAAAAAAACAGAAAACACAAGAAAGUCUUCUGGAAUAUACGAAAUUAAGAGCUAUUAGUAGAAAAGUAGUAAAACAAGCAAUAAAGAAAUCGUGGAAAAUUUUUUAAAUCAAUAUUAAACAGUUUUACCCCAGCAGUAAUAAAUAGUGUGGAAACAAAUGAACAAAAUUGCGGGGGGCCACACAAACUCUUCAGUAAGAUAUUUAGAAUAUAAACAAAAUUCGAACAUCUAGAUAUGAGAUAGCUUUUUUCUAGUGAUGUUGGCGAUUUUACCCAUCUUAUUCUAUUCAUGGCAGCUCGAAAUAGGUCAACUGACGUUAAACCAGUUCAUUUCCUAAGAUUGGUCUGCCGAAUCUACGUCCAGGGCCAUAGGCGUAGCCAUGGGGGUUUUAACCCCCCCCCCCAUUUGGUUGUACUUUGAGUUCUAUCGCUUAAAACCAUUACUAUUCCAUAUAUCCAAAGACUAUUCAGUAGUUGUAACUGUUAUAAAAUGAGUUAGGUGAGCUAACUAAAUGACCAUCAACGAUUAUAAUUUAUUCUUAAUUACAGGACAAUAGGAAACUUGACUGACAUUAUAUUUUAUAAUUUUCUGACAUUGACAUUACUUCUAUUAUCAAUACUGUCAUUACAUAGAGUAUGUACAACUAUAGAGCAACAUCUACUUUUAACGUUGUAUAUUGUAACACUCUCCCUCAACGUGAAAAGUAGAUAAGCCAAAAAAUUUUGGUUUCUUUCUAACACGCAUAUUGUAACGCUUAGAUUCUUAAACACCAUCAUCGCUUCUUUCUUCUCUAUUCACUUCUUGAUUUCACAAUUUCAUUGAUACCACUUUUCCCUUCUUUUCAUUUACACUAAAACAUUCCGACUGAUUCUGGUUAAGCGCGCCACGCACGGCGAGCUAAGCUAUAAUAUAUAUUUCAGAUUUCGGAUUUAUUCGCGCUGCAUGUCUCUUUGACUUUUGUUGGUGGAGACAAGAGACAGUUGACAAUUCCUGACUGUAAAUUGUCAGAUUUUUGGUUUGAUUGUUGUUUUUUUGCCAAAAACUUUUUGGUUAACUUAUUACUUAUUUAUUUUUAGAGGUGAUAAUACAUAUUUUUAUAUAAAUAUAACUAAAUCUUACAUUUUUUUAGUGGUAAAAAUAAGAUAAAAAAAUGAGUGAUCAUUUUACAUCCAUCCAGCGAUGAGAAUUUAGAAGGAAUUGACACUUAGGGAGUACCAAAAAAUUUAGAUUAUUUUGAGGAAACUGUGCCUUUGUUCGAUGGCGAUAAGUAUGUCCUGGAACAUUUUGGCAUCAUCAGAGUAAAAGUAGUAGAGAUGUUACAGGUCCAUUCAACACAUC
rnacentral:lncRNA from 1 species